AUACGUAGGUGACAAGCGUUAUCCGGAUUUACUGGGCGUAAAGGGCGUGUAGGCGGUCUUGCAAGUCAGAAGUGAAAUUCCUGAGCUCAACUCGGGCGCUGCUUCUGAAACUGCAGGACUUGAGUGCUGGAGGGGAUAGCGGAAUUCCUAGUGGAGCGGUAAAAUGCGCAGAUAUUAGGAAGAACACCGGUGGCGAAGGCGGCUAUCUGGACAGUAACUGACGCUGAGGGGCGAAAGCGUGGGGAGCAAACAGGAUUAGAUACCCUGGUAGUCCACGCUGUAAACGAUGAAUACUAGGUGUAGGGGGUAUCGACUCCCUCUGUGCCGCAGUUAACACAAUAAGUAUUCCGCCUGGGGAGUACGGCCGCAAGGUUGAAACUCAAAUGAAUUGACGGGG
rnacentral:rRNA from 1 species